GCGUAUGCAACUUGCCCUGCACAGGAGGAUAACCCGUCGAAAGACGGACUAAUACUGCGUACACUCACUGGGAGGCAUCUCUUGGUGAGGAAAGAAAUUCGGUGUAGGAUAGGCAUGCGUCCCAUUAGCUAGUUGGUGAGGUAACGGCUCACCAAGGCGACGAUGGGUAGGGGAACUGAGAGGUUUAUCCCCCACACUGGUACUGAGACACGGACCAGACUCCUACGGGAGGCAGCAGUGAGGAAUAUUGGUCAAUGGGCGCGAGCCUGAACCAGCCAAGUCGCGUGAAGGAUGACUGUCUUAUGGAUUGUAAACUUCUUUUGUAUGGGAAUAACGGGGCGGACGUGUCCGCUUGUGAAUGUACCAUACGAAUAAGCAUCGGCUAACUCCGUGCCAGCAGCCGCGGUAAUACGGAGGAUGCGAGCGUUAUCCGGAUUUAUUGGGUUUAAAGGGUGCGUAGGCGGCUUGUUAAGUCAGCGGUGAAAUCUUGGGGCUUAACCCCGAAACUGCCGUUGAAACUGGCGAGCUUGAGUGUAGAUGAGGUAGGCGGAAUUCGUGGUGUAGCGGUGAAAUGCAUAGAUAUCACGAGGAACUCCGAUUGCGCAGGCAGCUUACUAAGGUACAACUGACGCUGAAGCACGAAAGCGUGGGUAUCAAACAGGAUUAGAUACCCUGGUAGUCCACGCAGUAAACGAUGAUAACUGGGCGUAUGCGAUAUACAGUAUGCUCCUAAGCGAAAGCGUUAAGUAUCCACCUGGGG
rnacentral:rRNA from 1 species